UACGUAGGGGGCAAGCGUUGUUCGGAAUUACUGGGCGUAAAGGGCGCGUAGGCGGCACAGCAAGUCAGGAGUGAAAGCCCGGGGCUCAACCCCGGAAUGGCUUUCGAAACUGCUGAGCUAGAGUACAGAAGGGGCAACCGGAAUUCCCAGUGUAGCGGUGAAAUGCGUAGAUAUUGGGAAGAACACCUGAGGCGAAGGCGGGUUGCUGGGCUGAUACUGACGCUGAGGCGCGAAAGCCAGGGGAGCAAACGGG
rnacentral:rRNA from 1 species